rnacentral:rRNA from 1 species
GUAGGGUGCAAGCGUUAUCCGGAUUUACUGGGCGUAAAGGGUUGCGUAGGCGGUCUAUUAAGUCACAAUUCAAAUCUCUCGGCUUAACCGAGAAUCGGGGGUUCUGAUACUGGGUAGACUUUGAGUCUUGGAGGGGUAGCCGGAACUUGCAGUGGAGCGGUGAAAUGCGUUGAGAUUGCAAGGAACACCAAUGGCGUAGGCAGGCUACUGGUCAAGUACUGACGCUGAUGCACGAAAGCUAGGGGAGCGAAAGGGAUUAGAGACCCCUGUAGUCCUAGCCGUAAAUGAUGGACACUAGAUGCCUGUCUUGCAAAGUUUAUGAUUUUAUCGUAGAUUUUGCGAGGUGGGUGUCGUAAGCUAACGCGCUAAGUGUCCCGCCUGGGGAGUACGGCCGCAAGGCUA